GAUGAACGCUAGCUACAGGCUUAACACAUGCAAGUCGAGGGGUAACAAGAGGAAAGCUUGCUUUCCUUGUCGACGACCGGCGCACGGGUGAGUAACGCGUAUCCAACCUGCCCCCAACUAGGGAAUAACCUUGCGAAAGUAAGACUAAUACCCUAUAAUUUCCUCAGAUGACAUCUGACGAGGAAUAAAGAUUUAUCGGUUGUGGAUGGGGAUUCGUCUGAUUAGCUUGGUGGCGGGGUAACGGCCCACCAAGGCAACGAUCAGUAGGGGUUCUGAGAGGAAGGUCCCCCACAUUGGAACUGAGACACGGUCCAAACUCCUACGGGAGGCAGCAUUGAGGAAUAUUGGUCCAUGGGCGGAAGCCUGAACCAGCCAAGUAGCGUGCAGGAUGACGGCCCUAUGGGUUGUAAACUGCUUUUAUACAGGAAUAAAGUUAGCCACGUGUGGUUAUUUGUAGGUACUGUAUGAAUAAGGACCGGCUAAUUCCGUGCCAGCAGCCGCGGUAA
rnacentral:rRNA from 1 species